AGAGAUUAUAUAAUAGGUCCAGCUAUGCGUGCUUACUAUCAGUAAGUCAUUGCCCUUUCUGAUAGUUCUGACGUUCAGUUGGAAAUCUCUGUUGGGAUCAGAAGAAAUGUCAACUGGGAAGAGAAGGGGACGCUAUGAUGGAAGACGUUGGACAGAAUCCACUGGAUGAUGUGUACCAGACAAUAGAAUUACCAGCAUUAGAAGCCGUAAAACAGAACCUUGACUGCCUGAAUUCAGACCUUGAAAAGGACCUGCAGAAACUGGAUAUGGAGAAUCAGGUUCUCCUUAGAAAGAUUAAAGAGAAAGAAGAAACUAUUUCAAGCCUGGAAAGAAAGCUGGCCUUGUCACUAGAAGAAGCCAAAGAGGAGGAGGAGUUGAACUAUAUCAUAGAUGAACAGGAGGAAUCCCUGAGGGAGCUGGAAUUAGAGACAGCAAAGCUGGAAAAAAGUAAUGCAAUCCUAAGCAGGAAUGUGGUGGAGGUUCAGAAAAAGAUUUCAGGGUUAUUUACAAAUAUUGGCCUUGAAGAAGAAACCACAAAGCAGAUCCUGGAGGAAAUGAAGGCAAGACUACAGAAGUCAACAGAGUCCUGUGCAAAGCAAGAGGAGGAACUGGCCAAGAUAGAGAGUGACUACCAAUCUGUGUCUGACCUCUGUAAGGACCAGGUCUACUACAUAAAGAAAUACCAGGAAGUUCUGAGGAAGAUGAAAGAGGAAAAGGAGACGCUGCUUCUUGAAAAACAAAUAUCCAAAGCCCAGAAUGACUCCUCUCAAACAGUGAAACCGGGAUCAAUUUUGGCGGACACCACCCAAAGAAACAUGUGGAGACGGCACUUCAACAUGUUGGCCAGGCUGGUCUCUAACUCCUCACCUCAAGUGAUCUGCCCGCCUCAGCCUCCAAAAGUGCUGGGAUUACAGGCAUGAGCCACUGCGCCCAGCCGUCAACUGAAGAAGAGUGAAGGCAUUGAAUUCAGGGCUAACCAGGAAGCUAAAGUAAUCCUUCGAAAGAUGACUCCACCAAGAGCAGCCUUGUCUGAGUUGGCUGUCGGGAUGGAGUUUCACUCUUGUUGCCCAGGCUGGAGUGCAAUGGCGUGAUCUCGGCUCACCACAACCUCUGCCUCCCGGGUUCAAGCGAUUCUCCUGCCUCAGCCUUCCAAGUAGCUGGGAUUACAGGCAUGCACCACCAUGCCUGGCUAAUUUUUGGAUUUUUCGUAGAGACAGAUUUCUCCAGGGACAACUGGAUAUAGAAAACUGAAAGAAAUAUCCGGAAUGGGUCCGAAGUCAAGGGAAUGAACUACAUUAUCUUCCCAGACAACUAAAACUUGUUUAAGAUAUGGGUAUUCAAGUCACACGACCUCUGGCAAGGAGCCAAUGAGUCUCUGCCCAGCAUGUGAGCCAGAUGGCUGAACUAGGGAAGAUGAUAAAUUCAGAUGACUUGCAGAGACAUCUGGUAACCUCAGGCCCAGCUCCACUCCAGGGGUGAAUCUGGCCUUUUAAAAAAAGUCCUUUGAGACAUACUAUUUAAGCACUGAUGGUACACAAUGAAUUGUAUUUUUGUUAAUGAUAACACUAGUAAUAACAGCUGGCCUGUCAAUAUUGUGGGAGCAAACACACUCUCCUUUCACUGUAACAGAAAACUAAACCACCUGCUGGCUUGGAGGGGGCAGUACCCUGUAACAAGUGUGGAUGGAAGGAAAGAUCAGAUCUCUGUUAAGUGUUGUGGGGAAAAACAAGAGAGAUCAGACUGUCACUGUGUCUGUGUAGAAAGAAGUAGACAUGGGAGACUCCAUUUUGUUAUGUACUAAGAAAAAUUCUUCUGCCUUGAGAUUCUGUGACCUUACCCCCAACCCCGUGCUCUCUGAAACAUGUGCUGUGUCAAACUCAGGGUUAAAUGGAUUAAGGGCGGUGCAAGAUGUGCUUUGUUAAACAGAUGCUUGAAGGCAGCACGCUCCUUAAGAGUCAUCACCACUCCCUAAUCUCAAGUACCCAGGGACACAAACACUGCGGAAGGCCGCAGGGACCUCUGCCUAGGAAAGCCAGGUAUUGUCCAAGGUUUCUCCCCAUGUGAUAGUCUGAAAUAUGGCCUCGUGGGAAGGGAAAGACCUGACCGUCCCCCAGCCCGACACCUGUAAAGGGUCUGUGCUGAGGAGGAUUAGUAUAAGAGGAAGGCAUGCCUCUUGCAGUUGAGACAAGAGGAAGGCAUCUGUCUCCUGCCCGUCCCUGGGCAAUGGAAUGUCUCGGUAUAAAACCCGAUUGUGCGUUCCAUCUACUGAGAUAGGGAAAAACUGCCUUAGGGCUGGAGGUGGGACAUGCGGGCAGCAAUACUGCUUUGUAAAGCAUUGAGAUGUUUAUGUGUAUGCAUAUCUAAAAGCACAGCACUUAAUCCUUUACCUUGUCUAUGAUGCAAAGACCUUUGUUCAUGUGUUUGUCUGCUGACCCUCUCCUCACUAUUGUCUUGUGACCCUGACACAUCCCCCUCUCGGAGAAACACCACGAAUGAUCAAUAAAUACUAAGGGAACUCAGAGCCUGGCGGGAUCCUCCAUAUGCUGAACGCUGGUUCCCCGGGCCCCCUUAUUCCUUUCUCUAUA